AGCAGGAGCAGACAAAAUUGCAACUCAAAAAUAUACUGCUUGCAUGCAAAUACUGACAUUGUCAUAUCACAAAUCUCACAGUGUAUGAUUUGCAGAAUAUGUAACAUGCAAAUAAUUGUAAGCAGAGGGGUUCUCCAGACUCUCCAAAGCUCUCUAGGAGCCAUUACUUUAAAAAAAAAAAAAAAGGGUGAAUGUGCAUGAUUACUUUGUGAGCAUGAAUUCUUAGCAUUUACUGACUUGUUUUUCUCUUCUGCGAGGAAAUAUCUCCUCUGCUAAACUUUUUUAAUUUCCUGUGUGUUUCCACUUUUACAGUUUCCAGCUCUUAACUGUGUGCCUCAGUCAGCAGGAAUUUUGGUUUCAACACAGCCUGGCUGCUGAGUCUUUGCUGCCAGGAAGAGUCUUCCUGUCCUUCAUUAGGAUUCUGAGCCACGUCUGUAGUCUGAGGAGAACAAAGACAUGAGACGAAGGGGCAGUGAAAGGAAAGCAAGGAAGCACAGACAGUUCCUUAUUUUGCUGAAGGAAAGGAGGAUAAAUGACAGCCAGGAGCCACAGAGAUCCAGGGAUGCAUGGGAUUGCUCCACCAUCCUUGAAGAAUCCACUUCGUGUAUCUUUGUGACUAUUGGGAGCACAGAAAGCGCCAAACCUGCUCUGCCCGUCUGUCUGGCAGUGCUUGGUAGCAGUGGAUUUAGAGCACAGUUCCCAAAACCUCUCAGUAGGGAAUUGUGUGAUAUCAAGUAGUUUGUAGAUGACCUCUGAGACUUAGGCUGUCCAGGACUUGGAAAAAUCAUACUGUAAAGCCACAAGGUGAUUAUCCACAUGCAUGUGCCUGCACUUUUUUAUAGGAAUCAUGGAAAGAUAACAUAUUUUAACUAUAU
rnacentral:lncRNA from 1 species